rnacentral:tRNA from 1 species
GCGGACGUGGCGAAAUGGUAGACGCAGCGGACUUAAAAUCCGCUUCCCCUAUGGGAGUGUGGGUUCGAGUCCCACCGUCCGCACCA